CGCUUGUCGAGUUGACCGAUAUUAAUCGGUUUUUUGUAUACAUUUUCAAUCAAACCGUAUGUUUUUUUUUGGUCCAACGUGAAUGACGUACAACUCAAAGGUGGAGAGUUACUAGGUUUUACAAAUUUUACCCAGAAAAAGUUAUCUGUAAGAGAAUAGAGUAAUGCGUUUCCUUUUUAUAUUGUAUGGUGGAGAGCCUCAGCCAAUCCUUUUCCAGUUUAGUAUAUACGUUUGUUAAUUAUUCGCGCAGACCGCUAUAAAUUCCAUGCUUACCACCUGCAAGCGGUCUGACGGAUUUUCUGCCCGCGGUGCUAUUGCAAGUUUAAUGAAAUGUUUGAUUUCACACUUUAUCUGCACUCUUCUACGGAGAGCGGAUAAAUAGUAUAUUUCUUUUUCCGCUCCCGUCAACCAAAUGAUCUAACAUUCAGAAUCUUCUUGAUCCGGCCUAAUCUCAUCUUUCAUGUUCGUCUUAACCUAACUAUCGUUUUUAUCAAAUGGAUCAUCUUUUUGGCUCCUUUUUGAAAACAGAUUUUAUUUUUAUUUUUAUAGAACUAAAGAAGAGGAAAGUUUGACGAAAGAACAAUACUAAAACGAAUUACUUAAGAUAGCAAAGACUCAAGGAAUGGAGAUGACAAACAUAAAGUUAGGAUUAUGGACAGUCAUCUUAACUUUCAUCGCUGCUGUAAACGCUCGAUCGUCGUUACCAAUCGUUCAGUCACCCGAUAUAGGAGAAACAGAUAAAGUUGUAACUAUAUCUACUAUAAGGUAAAAGGAGGAAAAACUAUACAAACUUUGGGGCACUUUUCACGCUCGACUGCAAAAAACUCACAUCAAUAGGAUAGAGUUAUUGUUUUUAAUUUGCCGGUCGCUUUGAUGCUGCACGCUAACUGACCAUUGGAAUAUAAAUAGGCGUACUGCAGCGAAACACUGCAAUUAAUUUCGUCCGGCUGCCGCGAGAUAAACACGUGCAACAGGCGUUCCUGAAAUCGGCUCAUCAUCUCUCAACCGACUCCUUUCCUUUCGUUCGAUUACCCAAUCGAUCGUAAUACUUAAUGAUAUAAUAGAAGAAAUAGACAAAAAAAUGAUGGGUCAGAAAACUUGUCAAGAUAAGACAUCGUCACGCUAACCUGGCUAAUUUCUACGUCGAUUCGAAUUUCGACGAAUUUAAUGCAUUUCCCCUCAUCUCAAUUGAUCAAAAUCGUGACGCUUCAAUAUAAUCCAUCAUAUUACCCAUCUUUUGUUCCUGUUGAACAAAAGAAUUGACCUCGUUACACACUUGACUUGAUGCUUCUUGGUGAGCGUUUUCUCCGAAGGCGUUUUCUGUCUAUUUUUAUUUAGUUGCCUCGCUUGUAAUUAUCUUCGUCUGUCGUGAAAGAAGGAAAAAGUGACUACGAGGGGUAAUGCAUAGAAAGGCACGGAUUAUUAGCUGCCACUGUUUUACUCACGUUCAAGACACGCUCCCUUCAAGUGAAAUCCUUUAUCGUUUCCUAUUUAAUUGCCGGUGAAGGAAAUGUUUGUAAUAAAAAAAUAGUUAUGUCUAGUGAAAAACUCGGCAAAUAACAUUUACUCCGCAUCUAAUUACAUUCGUCUUAUAAAUUGGCCAUCGUAGCGUACAGAUAACUAAUAGAAUUCGCUCUUCCGCUUAGUUCGUGCGUCCUCCCCCUCUUCCUCUUCUCUUAUUAUCCCUAAUACUGUAAAUCGUUCAAUUAGUAAUUUAGACGCCGUAUAUUUACAUUUAUAUACGCUAUUGUAUAAUCUAUAAUACCGGAUAUAUGCAGAGCGAACUUUUGUGGUUUUUUCAUUACUCAGAGUGUGACAUUUUGGCAGAUCGUGCUAAGACCUUUUUAUAAUUGUUUCCUUGCCAUAUUGGACAAAGAAGAUAAAAGGAAACAUACCAGUGGGAAAAUAAGUUCAUAGAGUGAGACAGAAAAUGAGAGAGACAGCGUAAAAGAGAAGGCGGCAGGGCGUGGUAUGGGAGGGGGUAAGGGGAUUGAGGUAAAGAGAAUGACAGGAGGAGCGAAAAAGAAAGAAGAAAAACAAAAGAAUGGUAACAGAGGAAGUCACCGUAUAUAUCUAAAUAUAUACUGAGUAAACAAAAUGAAAGAAUAAGGAAGGAAGAGGAGUAGACGUGAAAGAGCAUAGAAUGUCUUGUACAAGUAUAUUAAAAGCGGUUGGAGUUUUAAGAUAGAUGAAUUUUGCCUUAAGUAAUAUACAAAGAAAUCUAACAGUUGCAGUGAGACUGCAAAUUAAUGACUGCACUUAGCAAACAAUAAAAAUACCGAUAUACAAUCUAUACAAUGGUUAAUAUAUAUGGCGCCAAACUAGCGUGAUGGCGAGCUUUCAAUGCUCAUUCAAAAUUUAAGAUACCCUACCUUUUUGUUAUUUAUUCCAUAAGUUGACCUUUAUACUCCUCUCUUUUUCUAAACUUUCUCUCCCUCCUCUUUUUCUUUAUAUCCUUUUUAUGCCCAAUUUUUUGCAUAUUUUUCUUCCGGCAGAUUGAGCCGUACGUCGUCAUCCAUAAGGAAAUAAGGGAUCACUAUCGUUACGAAGGUUAUAUUAUUGAUCUAGUUCGAGAGUUGUCUAGGGAUUUGGGCUUCAAAUUUAAAAUAUUUGAAGUAGAAGAUGGUCAAUUUGGCUUUCGUCAUAAUGGAAAUUGGAAUGGUAUGAUUGGAGAAGUUAUAGGAAGAAGGGUCGAUUUAGCGGCAGCUCCCCUCCUCAUGACUAGACCUAGAAUGAGAGCCAUAGACUUUACAGAACCAUUCAUGAAAGUUUACGCAUCUGUGUUAAUAAAUAAACAAGCAAGCGAACUUAUAAAUGGCUACAAGGAUUUAUUAAAUCAUCCCCACUUUACAUAUGGAGUGCAAGCUAAAGGUGUUUUACGAAGAGCAUUAAAGUUGUCAAAUGAUACAGAUUUGUCAAGAUUAUGGAAGCAAAUGUUAAGGUGGCAAGAAAGAGGUUUAAAAUUCAUAUUUACAAAGAAUAACGAAAGAGGUAUCAAGAAUGUAAGAAUCGACGAAAGCUACGCCUUUAUCCUCCCUUCACCAAUUGCAGACUAUAUGCAACUUCAAAUGCCUUGCAAUUUAAAAUCAGUUGAUAAGUUCCUUAUAAAUAUGGACUAUGCUUUUGCUGCAAGAAAAAACUCUUCUUUAGUAUCAAAAAUAAAUAAAUCAUUGAGAAAAUUCAAGAAAAAUGGAUAUUUAGAUAGACUACGGAAAAAGUGGUGGGAAGAUAGAUCCCAAUGCUCCUCAGCUAGAAGUAUCAAGAGAGAAGUAUUGGGAUAUAACGGGAAAUCUACCGCUGUAAAGGGACAUUUUUAUUUAGUACUUCUACCUCCUUUACUAUUAUUAUUGUUAUAGUGUAUCAUAACAGUCUAGAAUUAAUAAAAAGAAACGAAGAAGAUAGGGGGAUGAAUGUAUAUAAAAGAAAUAUAAAAUAUAUACAUAACGACUAUAUAUAUAUAUAUAUAUAUAAAUGUAUAUGUAUGCAGUAUAUACAGCAUAAAUGAUGUAUCUAUAAAAGAAAACGAGUAAGAAAGAAAGGAAGAAGAAGAAAGAAAAGAAAGAAAGAAAAAAAAAAAAGACUGCAGAUUACAAUUCCAUUAUGCUCAUUCUAACUGUCUUCUCUAUUUGUUUGUAUACUGAAAUCACCUUAUUAUAUAUUCAUGGUCACAUAUUGUUUAAGCUUUUUUGUUCAUGUAAAUCAUAUAGUUGAUAACUGUUUUUCUAGUUUAUUCUAGCGAUAUCCAUACAUAUAUAUAUAUAUAUUACUAAUAUGUAUUUAUAUGUAUGCUAUAUCGUAUAAAAAUCCGCCUAAUGAUUUUAUUCCUUCCCAUUUGAAUAGAGAAAUACCUUUGAAGUUUAUUAUAUAAAUCUUGUACAUACAAAGAUUCUAAUAAUAUACAUAUAUUAUACGUAAAAUAUGUAUAUAAACAGUAUAUAUACAAAGAUAUAGGUAACUAUAUUUGAAAGCCUAUAUACAAUAUAUAGGCAUAUAUUUAUCUAUUUUUUAUGUACAACUUCUACUUCGUCGACCAAUGAAUUGUUAAUAACAUUUUAUAUACAUAAAAAUAUAUAUAAUAUUAUUAUACAAU
rnacentral:misc_RNA from 1 species